AACGAACGCUGGCGGCAUGCCUACCACAUGCAAGUCGAACGAGACAUUCGGGUCUAGUGGCGCACGGGUGCGUAACGCGUGGGCAUCUGCCCUUGGGUGCGGAAUAACAGUUAGAAAUGACUGCUAAUACCGCAUAAUGACUCCGGUCCAAAGAUUUAUCGCCCAGGGAUGAGCCCGCGUCGGAUUAGUUAGUUGGUAGGGUAAAAGCCUACCAAGGCAACGAUCCGUAGCUGGUCUGAGAGGAUGAUCAGCCACACCGGGACUGAGACACGGCCCAGACUCCUACGGGAGGCAGCAGUGGGGAAUAUUGGACAAUGGGCGAAAGCCUGAUCCAGCAAUGCCGCGUGAGUGAUGAAGGCCUUAGGGUUGUAAAGCUCUUUUACCCGGGAUGAUAAUGACAGUACCGGGGUAAUAAGCCCCGGCUAACUCCGUGCCAGCAGCCGCCGUAACAC
rnacentral:rRNA from 1 species